GAAUUACGUAAAAGGGCACAAAAACUAGAAGUCAAUACAAAUUGGCAUAAGAUUUCAACAUAAGCACGGUAAUGGAACCAAUCCAUCUAGUGAUGGAAUCUCCCCUCUUAGCCCUCACAAUAACAUAUACUACAAACCAAGUGCAGCAAACUAGAUUAUAGAAGUCUCCACAGCAGUCUGAUGCUAUUCCCACUCCAGCAAAUCAGAAUUCAGAAGCCGUGGAUCUUGAUGCGCUCUUUCUUCACUAUGCCAGCCUGAACAAGGAAAGUAGAAACAUUCUUCCGCUGAUCGCCUUGGAGCUGGAUAACCUGGCCCAGUUCUGAGUC
rnacentral:misc_RNA from 1 species